rnacentral:rRNA from 1 species
GAUGAACGCUAGCGACAGGCUUAACACAUGCAAGUCGAGGGGCAGCGGGGUUGUAGCUUGCUAUAACCGCCGGCGACCGGCGCACGGGUGAGUAACACGUAUGCAACCUGCCCGUUGCAGGGGGAUAAGCGGAAGAAAUUCCGUCUAAUACCGCGUAAUAUGAGGUCAAGGCAUCUUAACCACAUUAAAGAUUUAUCGGCAACGGAUGGGCAUGCGGCGCAUUAGCUAGUUGGCGGGUAACGGCCCACCAAGGCGACGAUGCGUAGGGGUUCUGAGAGGAAGGUCCCCCCAACUGGAACUGAGACACGGUCCAGACUCCUACGGGAGGCAGCAGUGAGGAAUAUUGGUCAAUGGUCGAAGACUGAACCAGCCAAGUAGCGUGAAGGAUGAAGGUUCUAUGGAUUGUAAACUCUUUUA